CACAACAAAAUUUUCCCUCCACCAAAGGCUUAAGUGAGGUUUUGGAGGCUGAUAUAGCUGGGCGUGGCAUCUCUGCUCCAGAGGAGACACAGCCAGGCAGCUUUAUCACCAGGGAAGUGACAGUUUAAAAGGGGCUGGGCCAGGGAAGCCUGGAGAGAGAGGUUUACCUGCACACCUGGGCCAACCUAGCCGUGCAUCUGGGGACUUUCCUUUCCUGUGUGGCAUUGAUUGGGAUGAUCAGACAGAGACUUCGGGCUUGGUCUACAGCACUGCUCCCCCCUGAAUCUGUGAUACACAGCUCCUGCCAAAGAGAAGCUGACUCAGGUGGGAAUUCUAACGCAUUUUGCAGCGGUUCCACAACUACAGAAAAUUAUCCACUAGCCACUCUUAGGCUGCAAGAGAAAUGAAGCGAGAGAUUCCUCUGUCCAGAUAAACACCCGUGGGAUUUCUGUCCACGAGCUGGAGAACUUUUCCACAAAAGCAAUUUCUCAUUUUUUAAGAAACACUAGCUCACACAGAGGACUGUGGAUCCUCUAGGGAGAACCUUUCUCUCAGUUUUUCUGAAGUUCUGACGUGGGUGUGUGGGGCCACCUGAGCCUAAUGGUGAUGAUGUAGACUUUUGGGAGAGAGGGGAGGGAGGGAUGGGGGAAGAUGGGUUGCUGGUCAGGACGGGACAGCCCAGUGGCAUGCUGCCACCUCAACCAGCGCUCUACUUGCAAUAAAACAGGUAACUUAUCGAUCAGUGGGAAAAAAUCUGUAAUGAGUUAAUUUAGGAACUUCGAAAUGUGUCAGAACUUUAUUUCCAAGUGCCUUCUUCCCAGUAUGAGAACAUUAGUUUUUUCUAAAGUGAAUAUGCAAAUAUGCUUCCAAAAAGUGCCUUACUGAACUUAUAAAUUUGAAACUAUUUUUUUCUAGACUUUAUGGUAUUUUUUGUCAUCUUGGGCAGCUUGAUAAACCAGACUAGGUAUAUGUUUCCCAAUGGUACGAUUCCUUGUUAAAGUAAUUACAAGAUACUACUAAUAGCAAUUAACUUUUUAGAAGAAAUUUUUCUAAAUAAUCAGUAAUAAAAUAAUAUUGUUGAAUCAACCAUGCUAAGGGUAAGGCUGAAAUAUCUUGGCAUUCUCAGUAGGAAA
rnacentral:lncRNA from 1 species